AAGAAGCAAACGCGUUUCUUACGCAGACCUGCACAGUGAGCGUCUUGUAGUUUCUUUGCUACGUAUUUCAGCCUCAGGUCACACAAAUGUUAUCGGAACCGGCUUUGACUUAUUACUAAGCCAUCAUUAGAUGAUGUUGUCACUUGUUACUGUACCACCUGGAGCUUGGUAGGAGCAAUUGUGACUAAGGGAGUACUAAAGCCAGUUCAGAGUGUACUCUGAGGAAAGGGUUGGCAAGUACACGAGAAGAAUAACAAAGUGUUUGCAAUUUAUAUACCCUGUGCAAUUAGUGUUUUAAUUCUGUAUUUUUAAUUUUGUAGAUAUAUUGACAGAAACACUGAAAACAAUGGAAUUAGUCACUAUUGUA